AUGCACAAUGCUAACCCCGGGCUUGUCGGACUAGAAUCCUUUGAAGAAUGAAGCCCCAAUGACUGUGCUAGAUCCACCAUGCCAUUCAGUGUUGCAGGUCAUGAUGCUUCGAGCUCGUGAUUGGUCUGUGUCAGCGUAAUGGAUACAUUC
rnacentral:snoRNA from 1 species